AUCCCUCCGCCGCGCCGCCCCGUCCUCCCCUUCCUUCCGCCUCCCACCUCUCCCCUCGCCUCCGCCACCCACCUCUCCCCUCGCCGCCGGUCUACAGCUGUCUGCACCCUCCCCUCCCCACCACUCAUCACAAGACAAGAGAAGAAGAAAGGGAGGGAGCUCUAUCACCGGCGGCCAUGGCACGCCUCUUCCCCGUCCCAGAUCAGAUCCAGCACGCCCCCAACCGCAUCCACAACCCACGUCGCCGCGGCUCCCAAUCCCUCCCAUGCAGCCGCCGCGGAUGCCUCCUGGACCGCCACCUCAAAGGGACGACGACGGCGACUAGGACGUCUUCCUCCCCCAGCGACGGCGACGUUCUUCGCCACCGCCGUGGUCGGGCUGCGGCGACCAGCAGAGGAACUCCUCCGGCAGAGGGGGAGUCCUCCCUUGCUUCCUUGUCCACCACGAAGCACGCACAGGCAGGGGAGGAGCCGCGCCAUCCAACCUCCACUGCCGCCCGAAGCCAACAAAUCAUCUGACGCAGGCAGUUGAAGGGGCUAGGCCAUGGAGAGGCUGCAGGGCCAUGGACAUGCCGGAGAGGAGGACAUUCUUGGCCGAUGUAGAAGCUGCGGGAGAGGAGAGCAGUUUCAGUCAUGCAGCCCUCCUCCCCUCCCCUUAUCUUCUUCUUCUGGAUUUGUUCUGAUCCGUGCGUUUGGUUUGUGCAGGCCAUCACCAAGCUGCUGCCGGUGUGCCCGCCAAGGUGCCUAAUUUGGGCAGCUCGACAGCGGCAAGCAACCCCAGCCCGCUCCACCGAGCGCACCAAGGUGCCUGAUUUGGCACCUCGACGACGACGAGCAAUCCCACCCUUCUCCACCGAGCCCACCAAGGUGCCUGAUUUGGCAGCUAUGGAGGCCAUCACCAAGGUCCUGCGAGUUUGAAGGAGCAGAAGGUCCAAGGGCCUGCCCACCAAGGCCGCCAAUCCCAACUAAAGAGAGGAAGCUCACCAGCGAGUUGAUUUUGAAUGUCGGCCACUACAACUGAGUGAUAGGAGGAGGUCCAGUAGCAGCCGCAGCUCAGGUUCCUCCCUCUCUUAAGGAGGUCCAGCAGUAGCAACAACUCAACUCCAGUGGCCUGGCUUCGCAGGCCCUCCUCCCGCACGUAAAUCAGCGUUGUCCCGUGUCCGACCUCACAGCCUCCGAGUCCAUGCUCGCCGUCACCAACUACCCAGAGCCCACCCUCCUCUCAAGCAACAAUGCAGGGGUGAUGGCUACACCUUUCUCCCUCAAAGGAUGGCAAGAUUGCAACCAACCAUGUCGGAGCUCGAGGUCUACAAAAUUUGAAGUUCGAAACCAUAUAGCUCUACUCAGCAAAGAGUCGUCUCUUCUGUUUGAUUGUAAUAGAAUGUAAAUAUUGUAAUAUUGUAAUAGUAGGCAUAUCUGGGUUGUAAUAACUAUGUACA